rnacentral:rRNA from 1 species
AGACGAACGCUGGCGGCGUGCCUAAUACAUGCAAGUCGAACGGUCUUUUCUAUGGAAGCUUGCUUCCACUGAGAAGAUAGUGGCGAACGGGUGAGUAACACGUGGGUAACCUGCCCAUAAGAGGGGGGAUAACAUCCGGAAACGGGUGCUAAUACCGCAUAGUUUUCUUGAUCGCAUGAUCGGGAAAGGAAAGACGGCCUUUGUGCUGUCGCUUAUGGAUGGACCCGCGGCGUAUUAGUUAGUUGGUGAGGUAACGGCUCACCAAGACGAUGAUACGUAGCCGACCUGAGAGGGUGAUCGGCCACAUUGGGACUGAGACACGGCCCAAACUCCUACGGGAGGCAGCAGUAGGGAAUCUUCCGCAAUGGACGAAAGUCUGACGGAGCAACGCCGCGUGAGUGAAGAAAGGUUUUCGGAUCGUAAAACUCUGUUGUCAGAGAAGAACAAGUUGGAGAGUAACUGCUCCAGCCUUGACGGUAUCUGACCAGAAAGCCACGGCUAACUACGUGCCAGCAGCCGC